GACCGCGUAGCUCAGUUGGCAGAGCAUUGGGCUAGUUUUCCAAAGGUCGUAGGUUCGAUUCCCAUCGUGGACA
rnacentral:tRNA from 1 species